rnacentral:rRNA from 1 species
AGGACGAACGCUGGCGGCGUGCUUAACACAUGCAAGUCGAGCGAGGCCCUUCCUUCGGGAAGGUGCCCUAGCGGCGAACGGGUGAGUAACACGUGGGCAACCUGCCCCUAGCACUGGGAUAACUCCGGGAAACCGGGGCUAAUACCAGAUAUGACCUUCUUGGGCAUCCUCGAAGGUGUAAAGGAUUCUGGCUAGGGAUGGGCCCGCGGCCUAUCAGCUUGUUGGUGGGGUAAUGGCCUACCAAGGCGACGACGGGUAGCCGGCCUGAGAGGGUGACCGGCCACACUGGGACUGAGACACGGCCCAGACUCCUACGGGAGGCAGCAGUGGGGAAUCUUGCACAAUGGGCGAAAGCCUGAUGCAGCGACGCCGCGUGAGGGAUGAAUGCCUUCGGGUUGUAAACCUCUUUCAGCAGGGACGAAGCGAAAGUGACGGUACCUGCAGAAGAGCACCGGCAACUACGCGCCAGCAGCCGC